CCUGCAAUAACAUAUACGUUUGUGACUGAGCUCAUACUUCACAGUUUAUGUACAUUAGGAAAUAAAAAAGGAAGUAGGAACCUUUGCAGGUGAACUUGAUAGCAUGGAGAGAAUGCUGAUGCAGACGGAACUCACAGUCAUUGCAGGUGACCACGAGUCAUAUAGAAUAUCUGCCAAAAACAACCCACAGAUAUUUAUACUAAUUCUCCAAAGGAAUCACUAUCAUCAGUCUACAUGCUCAGGGAUAAGCAAAUCUGAACUAAGAUGCAAAGCGGAGAGAUACAUGAACUCAAACUCCAUAGCAAGUACAAAAUCAUGAGUCUAACAAGAGCUCUGCGUGUUACCAGCUCAGAGGCAUAAGCUAUGAUAUUUGAAAAAGAUUAUGAUUUUGCAAAAGCAUAAACAGGAAUUAUAUCCCUAACUUUGAGCAACAGACAGAGUCGUUAUCCAAUAGAAACAUUUCUAAAUCACAGAACCAUACAAUUGGUCCAACCUCGGGUGAUCAGUUAUCACCAAAGCUAUCUUCAAACUUGGUAAAUUCUUCAUUACAUAUCAAUCAUAAAACUAACUCGACAAGGUAUUCAUAGCAUCACUGCACAUUAACAGCAAUAAGAAGGUAUGCAAGUUGGUGUAAUACAAGCAAGAUAAACUAACCCUUGAGAUGCAAAUUAAAACAAAAUAAAACAAUAAGCUAAAGAGAUGGAGCAAAUACCCAAACAAAUAUGUCCAUUGCUGUAAAUAUGUGGGUGUGACGGUGCCGGAGGAACAAAAAUAACCUGCUCAACCAACAGCAGAUGAAAUUAAUCACACUAACUCCAUCAAACAGACACCUAAACCCAAAAUAAAAUAAAUACUAUAGAUUCAAUUAGGUUGAGUAAUAUCCAUAACAAAGUGUAGCCAACCAAAGAGAAUCGAAGAGAAAGACACAUAAACAUGUAAGAAAAGGAAGUACUUCCGAUCAGAUUCGCUAUUACAAAUGUCAAACAGAAAUAAAACAAGAAAACCUAGAGGAUCGAGAUGACAUGCCUGGGGCGCUUCCAUAGGGUAAUUAACGGGAAAUUCAACCUGAAGCUGGUAAGUCUCGUUCGCGUAGAGCGUCCCCGGAGCUCCGGUCACAUCGAUUGUCCAUCUUUCAAGAUCACACCAACAGAAAACAAAUCGAUCAAGUGUUCAAACAGAGAGAGAGAGAUCAAGGGUUCAUUUUGUUCUUACUUUUGAAGAUUGUCGGUAACUUUGUGCCUAAAUCCAGUGGGAGGAUUUAAUUGCCACUCGGUAAGCUCUUUCUGCAACCUAUUGCACGCGAUCUUGCUUAAGGCCUACGCAUAAUUGCAACAACCACUCCGAUUUCAGAUGUCAUCAAAAGUUCUAUACAAGAGAGAAUAACAAAUCCGUGAAGAUAUCGAAGACAUGCGAGAUAGAGACCUUGCGUGAGGGAGCGGAAGAGCUGGUCAUGGCGGAGAAAGAGAGAAUGAAGGUGUGCGAUGCGUCGCCUCCUUUACUCUUCACGGUUUUUUUUUUCAAAGGGACACUUUCCUUUUCAUUAAAUUAAUUAUUUUGGAUGCAAGAGUAACUACAAAAAAAAGGAAAUAUUUUCAAGAGAAAAAGACAAAAAUAGCAUUAAAUCAAGUUUUUGUUCCCAAACUAGCAUUCAAGGUCAAAAAUCACAAAAAUAGCAUUUAAUGUUUUAUCAAAAGUCACAAACUUAGGGUUCAGAGUUAAAGGGUGGGGUUUAGGAUUUAGGGUUUAGGGUUUAGAGUUUAGAGUUUAGGGUUUAGGGUUUAGGGUUUAGGGUUUAGGGUUUAGAAUUUAGGGUUUAGGGUUUAGGGUUUAUAGUUGAGAAAUGAGGUUUUGGGGAUAAGAUUUCAAAUUUUGAAAAAUAAAAAAAUUAAAAUUUUCAAAUGAUAAAAUGCUAUUUUGGUCAUUUUAGUUUUUGAGUGCUAUUUUUGUGAUAUAAACUUAGAAAUGUGCUAUUUUGGGGAUUUGCCCUAUUUCCAAAUAAGAAAGAGAAAAUAAGAAAGACAGGAAUGAAGAAGAGAAAAAGACAAAAAUAGCACUAAAUCAAGUUUUUGUUCGCAAACUAACUCUCAAGGUCAAAAGUCACAAAAAUAGCACUUAAUGUUUUAUCAAAAGUCACAAACUUAAGGUUUAGAGUUAAAGGGUGGGGUUUAGGAUUUAGGGUUUAGGGUUUAGAGUUUAGGGUUUAGGGCUUAGGGUUUAGAGUUUAAGGUUUAGGGUUUAGAGUUGAGAAAUGAGGUUUUGGGGAUAAGAUUUCAAAGUUUGAAAAAUAAAAAAAUUAAAAUUUUCAAAGGAUAAACUUACAAAGGUGCUAUUUUGGUCGUUUUAGUUUUGGAGUGCUAUUUUUGUGAUAUAAACUUAUAAAGGUGCUAUUUUGGAGAUUUGCCCAAUGAAGAAAGGACAAUUCUCCAAAUUAUAUAAUUUUUAAGUUUUGAUCACAAAAAUACAGCACAAGGAAUAAAAAGAUCAAAAUAUUUUAUUUAAUAGGUAAAAGAUCCUAAUAUCCUAGAUAUAUAAUAAAAAAUUAAAAAAAUUAGAAAAAUAAUUUUUUUUAUAGUUUUAGGUUAUAUGUUUUCAGAUUCGAACUUUUUUAUAAAAAUUAAUUUUAUAAAAAUUUUGAUUUUUUUCAAAAAAUUUUUUUGUAAUCGAAAAUACUUUUUUAAAAUUUUUAUUUUCAAAUUUUUAAUAUUUAUUUAUUAUUUUAUAAAAUUUUAAAUCUCAAUCUCAAAUCUCCAACCCUUAACUCUAAACCUUAAGGUUCAGAUUAGUUAACCAUAGGGAUAUAAGUGUAUAUUUACAUUUUUAAUUAAAUAUUUUCGUCAUUUUGAUCCUUUGAGUCUAUAUUUGUGACAUAAAUGUUUUUAGUGUUAUCGUAUGGUAUAUCCCUAGAAAAAAAAAACAUAUAUUCUUUUUCAAAAGACUUUCAAAAAACUUAAGAGAUUAUCUUAGGCCUGGGUUCGAUACGGUUUUUUCGGAUAUGGAUUCUUUGGAUCUAGACAUUUGAAUCCAGUUAAGUAUUUGGAAGUUUUCGGUACGAAUUCGGGUCGGUUCCUCUUAGAUCGUAUCAGUUCAGAUCUAUAAUUAAAAUACAUAUAAAUUAUCUAUAACUAAGUGAUAAUUUGCGCUCUGCGCGGGAUGAGAAGACUUAAAAAGAUUAUAACUUUGAAAAAAUAUUACAAAUAUUUAUUGGUAUUCAACGAAAUUGUGUUGAAUAUUAUAGGAAAUAUUUUGUAGGAAAAGUUAUCUAUAGGUAUUAGAAAGGUAAAAGUCAUAGACAAAUUUUACAUGUUGUAUAAUAAGAAAUUCAACGAAAUUGUGUAUGUCUAUAUAAAGUAAGCUUUAUUUAAAAAAAAAAAAAACUUGUGCUAUUUGUUUAGUUUAAUUGAAAUAUAGUUCGUGGAAAUGAAUCAAUAAGAAUAAGGGAAAACUUAUAUAAAAUUAAUUAAGGAGUAAAGAUAAAACAAAACAUAUACGUAAUAAUACGGGUCUAGGGUUAAUUUGAUGAAAGCAAAUAGCCAUAAUUAUAUAUAAUAUUCACUAAUUAAUAUUGGGUUUUUUGCAGAACUGACCUACAACUUAAAGUCAAACACAAAACUAACCUCCUUUUUUUUUGGAACUUAGUUUUGCCCUAUUAACCCCACAAGUUCAUAUAAUUCACGAAAAUGACAUCAAUUUUUUUUUUUUUCGAAAAUGACAUUUUUACUCUCUCACCCUCAUCAUCUUCAAGUAAUUACAAGAUUGUCAUUGUCAUCAAUACCCUAACCACCAUGAACAAGCAAUUUGCAGCUCUUAAUGCUCCCAAAAUCGAGUUACCCUUCUUCUUUUUCCAUUCUUAUGAACUAAACACAAUAUAUCUCUCACUUUCUCUCCACAUUAAGCUAAAAAAACUCAAGAUUUUGAUUUUACAUUUUUUAUGGUUCAUAAAGUCAUAGAAGCUAACGAUUAUGGGUGGGUCACUUUCGUUUGAGAUUCUGUGUGCUUGGAGAAGCCUUAUGUGUGCUAAGGAAGUUUUUUCACCAAUUUAAGGUAUGAAAUCGAAUUUUUUUCCAGAUCUGUUCAUCAGACAACUUACAUGGGAAGUCGUCUGGCAGUAGACGACCUACCUGGAAGUCGUCUGGUCAACGCAGAGGUUAUUUUUGCAAUUGAAUUUGAAAUCUGUUUUCUGAGACGACUGAAAGUUAAGUCGUCUGAUUUUGUUUGGUUACAAAAAAAUCUCCAAAGAACCUAGACGACUUAUAUUUCAGUGGUCAUAGGUUAGUUUUACAUUUGACUGGAUUAUUUCAAAAGUUUGACUUUCCCGGACGACUUACAUUUCAGUCGUCUGGUGAAAAUUGAAAUAUCAAUAUUUUAUUAACACUAUACGACUUACAAUUAAGUCGUUAUAGGUUAGUUUUGCAAUUGAAAAAAAAACUUCAAUAUUUAAUUAUACCUAGACGACUUACAAUUCAGUCAUCCACUCGACGACUUACAUGUAAGUCGUCCAUGAUUUUAUUCCGAGAUUCUGGUCAAACCUCGUAAAUCCUGGACGACUGAAUUGUAAGUCCUCUAUAUAUAAUUAAAUAUUGAAGUUUUUUUUUCAAUUGCAAAACUAACCUAUGACGACUUAAAUGUAAGUCGUCCAGGAAAGUCAAACUUCUGAAAUAAUCCAGUCAAAUGAAAAACUAACCUAUGACGACUGAAAUGUAAGUCGUCUAGCUUUUUUGGAGUUUUUUUUAACCAAACAAAAGUAGAAGACUUAUUUUCCAGUCAUCUCAAAUAACAGAUUUCAAAGUCAAUUGCAAAAAUAACAUCUGCGUUGACCAGACGACUUAUAUUUUAGUCAUAUGGAAUACUUAGAUUGAAGUUGUCCACGUCGACCUAAAUGGACGACUCUCUGGAAGUCUACUAGAUGACCUCCGUGGAUGUCGUGUGCGUCAAUGUUUAAUAAACUUGCAUUUUCUCUAAAACUAUAAAGACUUUUUAACAUUUUCUUGUUAAUUCAUGUUUAUUAAUGAAUAUUUGGGCUACUGAAUGAAAUUUAUAACUUAAUUGGUGAUAUUUAUGAGGUUACCAACAUUCACGUUAAUUUAAGUUUCUAACUGAUCCGAGAAGACUUCAGUGGAAGUCUUCUCCGCUAGUUUUUAAGUCUUCUACAUUAGGAAAUAAAAAAGGAAGUAGGAACCUUUGCAGGUGAACUUGAUAGCAUGGAGAGAAUGCUGAUGCAGACGGAACUCACAGUCAUUGCAGGUGACCACGAGUCAUAUAGAAUAUCUGCCAAAAACAACCCACAGAUAUUUAUACUAAUUCUCCAAAGGAAUCACUAUCAUCAGUUUACAUGCUCAGGGAUAAGCAAAUCUGAACUAAGAUGCAAAGCGGAGAGAUACAUGAACUCAAACUCCAUAGCAAGUACAAAAUCAUGAGUCUAACAAGAGCUCUGCGUGUUACCAGC
rnacentral:lncRNA from 1 species